UGGGGAAUUUUGUGCAAUGGGCGAAAGCCUGACACAGCGACACCGCGUGAGCGAAGAAGCCCUUUGGGGUGUAAAGCUCUGUCAGCUGGAACGAAAAAAAUGACGGUACCAGCAGAGGAAGCAUCGGCUAACUACGUGCCAGCAGCCGCGGUAAGACGUAGGAUGCAAGCGUUGUCCGGAUUUAUUGGCGUAAAGAGUUCGUAGGCGGUUCGUUAAGUCUGAUGUUAAAGAUCAGGGCUCAACCCUGAGAGUGCAUUGGAUACUGGCGAGCUGGAGUGUGGUAGAGGCUAGUGGAAUUCNNNNGUGUAGCGGUGAAAUGCGUAGAUAUUGGGAAGAACACCGGUGGCGUAGGCGACUAGCUGGGCCAUAACUGACGCUGAGGAACGAAAGCCAGGGGAGCGAAUGGGAUUAGAUACCNNNNGUAGUCCUGGCUGUAAACGAUGGAUACUAGGCGUAGUGGGUAUCGACCCCUACUGUGCCGCAGCUAACGCGAUAAG
rnacentral:rRNA from 1 species